rnacentral:lncRNA from 1 species
UCGACCAAAGCUUGAUUUCUGACAGAAUACAAGAGGCACAUUGAACAAAUGUUUCAAACUAUCAAUCGUGCUCCAAUUUACUCAGAAAUAUAUCAUUGGAAAGAUAUUUCAAAUUAUUUUCAGAUAAAACAAGUCUCGUAUGAAUCAAAGUUUCCAACAAAGAGUUACAAUAGAUUUAGUAACCCAAGAUCAAAGAACAAAUCUCAAUUUUACAAAAUUCACAUGGUCGGUUUCAACAGAAAACUGGGCAGGCAUUUAGACUCUAAAUCUUUCAAUCUAGGUAUCAAAGAAAGAUCUACGAGUCUAGUUUCCAAUGAAAUAAGCUUUGAAUAAAUCAACGUUUCCAACAGGGACUUAUAGACAGUUCAGUAUCAAAAGGUCAGAAAUUACG